GGGAGGCCGGGGGCCAGCGCCUGACGCACCCCCGGAGCCCCGCAGGGGCGCCUCCGGCUCUCCGCCCUGGCUGGGAAGGGAGACGACUAGACCCACCUGGAGCAUGGCGCUUUUCAGGGGGCGGAGAAAGCUGUGGUGGUUUUUCCCUAGAACUGGAGCAGGUGCGGCGCCCUUCGCAGAAGAGGGGGGAGACAGGAGAAAUUAAGCUUCCCUUUUUGCAUAGUGCGCUUCUGUCCUGAAAAGCUGGAGGACAGAGAUCUCCAGAAGAACUGCUCGCAGUGACUCCGCUUAGCAUUCAUGGUGGAGAUGAGGUUAGGCUACUUUCUCAGCUACCAGGAGAGAAUUAAGCUUGUGGACAAGAAUACAGAGAGGAUAGAUGAGAAAAUGGAUGCAGAAAUGGUGUGAUUUACCCAACUGAAUACUAGAUUCGAAGCUGCUCUUCAUUAUUCAACUCAGUUUAAUAAAUUUGACAGAUACUCAUCAGCACUGCAGAUCCUGCUGAAAUGCAUAGAAAGCCUUACAUCUGUGCCUAUCCAUCAAGCAGCACUUAUUGGUAGAACAGGAAGUAUUAACUGUGUCCCUACGGGGGUACUGUGAGGGAUUAAAAAAAAAUACAAGACGUGUUCCUUUCAAGGAGUCUGCAGCUUCACUGGAAAAGACAAAACUAACACAACAAAGAAAAACAAACAAUAAAAGACAAUGUAUAAUUAAGUGCUAAAUCGUGUACCCCAGGCUAAGCGCUGUGGGAGUUUAGAGAAGAGAGAAAAUCCAGGAGCCAGAGCCCAGCCAGGAAGGCUUAAUGAAGAAGGCACCCAGAUGGAUUAUUGACAAAUCGGAGGGACUGGGGGAGGUAAAAGGAAGGACAAGAGAGGGAGGCUCACAGAAGAGGGAGGAGCCCCAGGGUUGAGGCGCCAAGAC